AAUCAACGCUGGCGGCGUGCCUCAGACAUGCAAGUCGAACGAUUAAAGCUCUCUUCGGAGAGUGCAUAAAGUGGCGCACGGGUGAGUAACACGUAAGUAAUCUACCCUCGAGUGGGGAAUAACGUCCGGAAACGGACGCUAAUACCGCAUAAUGCAGCGGCAUCGCAAGAUGACAGUUGUUAAAGAUUUAUUGCUUGAAGAGGAGCUUGCGGCAGAUAGCUAGUUGGUAAGGUAAUGGCUUACCAAGGCUACGAUCUGUAACCGGUCUAAGAGGACGGUCGGUCACACUGACACUGAAUAACGGGUCAGACUCCUACGGAGGCAGCAGUCGGGAAUUUUGGGCAAUGGGCGAAAGCCUGACCCAGCAACGCCGCGUGAAGGAUGAAGUAUUCGGUAUGU
rnacentral:rRNA from 1 species